GAGGGCCAGAAUCCCUUACUUCUCUCUCUCUCUCUCUCUCUCUCUCUCUCUCUGACACACACACACACACAGAGAGAGAGAGAGAGAGAGAGAGAGAGAGAGCAAAGCCUCUCUUGCAG